GUGAAUUUUAGCCGGCUGCCUCUGAAAAGAGAAGGUCUGGUUCCACUAUUUUUACACACUUGUGCACUUGUCUUUUUACAAAUUCAUUUUUGUAUUCAACCCUUUUGCAUUUGAAAAAGUUGUUGAACAAACCAAGUUGAUAAACGAAAGAA
rnacentral:misc_RNA from 1 species